rnacentral:lncRNA from 1 species
UGAUGAGUAGCAGGGGAGCUUGUCUCGUCAAGUUCUGACAGCCGCGACAGACAGAGCAGAGAUGGAUGAUAAUGGAUUCAUCAAUCAUCAGUUCAGUUGGUGUAGUUGUCGAGGGAUGCGUGCGGCUCGGCGGCCCUGGCGGCGGGGGUGGGCUCGACGGUGGGCGACGGCGGGACGGGCGUGCAGAGCAGGUCCCUGGGCAGGUCCGGGAUGCCCCGGAGGUAGAAGGUGUAGAAGAUCUUGAAGGGGAAGACGAUCUGGUUGAGCUUGACCUGGCCGUAGACGCCCUCGAAGACGCCGGAGCCGCCGGUGACCGCCAGGUACGACUCCUCGUAGGUCAGGUACGGGCCCUGCACCGAGAUGUGGCCGUAGUCUCCGAAGUAGAAGCUGUAGAUGGCCUCGUAGCGGUCGCCGUUGCGGUCGGGGACGUGCUGGAUGAGCACGCAGAUGCCCGCGGUGACGCCCAGCCGCUUGUCCAGGCUGCCGUUGUACACCUGCAGGUUGGGGUGGUGGAGAGAGAGAUGGACGGAUGAGCAGAGGCUAGAGGCUUGCUUGCUUGACUAGGAACAGAGGGGGG